UACGUAGGUGGCAAGCGUUGUCCGGAAUUAUUGGGCGUAAAGCGCGCGCAGGUGGUUUCUUAAGUCUGAUGUGAAAGCCCACGGCUCAACCGUGGAGGGUCAUUGGAAACUGGGGAACUUGAGUGCAGGAGAGAAGAGUGGAAUUCCACGUGUAGCGGUGAAAUGCGUAGAGAUGUGGAGGAACACCAGUGGCGAAGGCGGUGUUCUGGGCCUGUACUGACGCUGAUGCGCGAAAGCGUGGGGAGCGAACAGG
rnacentral:rRNA from 1 species